rnacentral:rRNA from 1 species
GACGAACGCUGGCGGCGUGCCUAAUACAUGCAAGUCGAACGGUCUUUUCUAUGGAAGCUUGCUUCCGCUGAGAAGAUAGUGGCGGACGGGUGAGUAACACGUGGGUAACCUGCCCAUAAGAGGGGGAUAACAUCCGGAAACGGGUGCUAAUACCGCAUAGUUUUCUUGAUCGCAUGAUCGGGAAAGGAAAGACGGCCUUUGUGCUGUCGCUUAUGGAUGGACCCGCGGCGUAUUAGUUAGUUGGUGAGGUAAUGGCUCACCAAGACGAUGAUACGUAGCCGACCUGAGAGGGUGAUCGGCCACAUUGGGACUGAGACACGGCCCAAACUCCUACGGGAGGCAGCAGUAGGGAAUCUUCCGCAAUGGAGGAAAGUCUGACGGAGCAACGCCGCGGGAGUGAAGAAGGUUUUCGGAUCGUAAAACUCUG